rnacentral:rRNA from 1 species
UUGGCUCAGGNACCGGACGCUGGCGGCGUGCCUAAUACAUGCAAGUCGAACGCGCAGCGAGAGGUGCUUGCACCUUUCAAGCGAGUGGCGAACGGGUGAGUAACACGUGGAUAACCUGCCUCAAGGCUGGGGAUAACAUUUGGAAACAGAUGCUAAUACCGAAUAAAACUUAGUAUCGCAUGAUAUCAAGUUAAAAGGCGCUACGGCGUCACCUAGAGAUGGAUCCGCGGUGCAUUAGUUAGUUGGUGGGGUAAAGGCUUACCAAGACAAUGAUGCAUAGCCGAGUGAGAGACUGAUCGGCCACAUGGACGAGACCGCC